UAAGGAAUAUUGGUCAAUGGACGCAAGUCUGAACCAGCCAUGCCGCGUGAAGGAUGAAGGUCCUCUGGAUUGUAAACUUCUUUUAUCUGGGACGAAAACGGGAUUUUUAUCUCAAUUGACGGUACCAGAGGAAUAAGCACCGGCUAACUCCGUGCCAGCAGCCGCGGUAAUACGGAGGGUGCGAGCGUUAUCCGGAUUUACUGGGUUUAAAGGGUGCGUAGGUGGGCUUAUAAGUCAGUGGUGAAAUCUCCGAGCUUAACUUGGAAACUGCCGUUGAUACUAUAGGUCUUGAAUUAUCUGGAGGUAAGCGGAAUAUGUCAUGUAGCGGUGAAAUGCUUAGAUAUGACAUAGAACACCAAUUGCGAGGGCAGCUUACUACAUAUAAAUUGACGCUGAGGCACGAAAGCGUGGGGAUCAAACA
rnacentral:rRNA from 1 species